rnacentral:rRNA from 1 species
UACGGAGGGAGCUAGCGUUGUUCGGAAUUACUGGGCGUAAAGCGCACGUAGGCGGCUUUGUAAGUUAGAGGUGAAAGCCCGGAGCUCAACUCCGGAAUUGCCUUUAAGACUGCAUCGCUUGAAUCCAGGAGAGGUGAGUGGAAUUCCGAGUGUGGAGGUGAAAUUCGUAGAUAUUCGGAAGAACACCAGUGGCGAAGGCGGCUCACUGGUCCGGUACUGACGCUGAGGUGCGAAAGCGUGGGGAGCAAACAGG